rnacentral:rRNA from 1 species
UCGACGAGUCGUCUUUUAGAUGACGAAGUGGUUGAUGCCAUGCUUCCAAGAAAAGCUUCUAAGCUUCAGGUAACCAGGAACCGUACCCCAAACCGACACAGGUGGUCGGGUAGAGAAUACCAAGGCGCUUGAGAGAACUCGGGUGAAGGAACUAGGCAAAAUGGCACCGUAACUUCGGGAGAAGGUGCGCCGGCUAGGGUGAAGGAUUUACUCCGUAAGCUCUGGCUGGUCGAAGAUACCAGGCCGCUGCGACUGUUUAUUAAAAACACAGCACUCUGCAAACACGAAAGUGGACGUAUAGGGUGUGACGCCUGCCCGGUGCCGGAAGGUUAAUUGAUGGGGUUAGCGCAAGCGAAGCUCUUGAUCGAAGCCCCGGUAAACGGCGGCCGUAACGAUAACGGUCCUAAGGUAGCGAAAUUCCUUGUCGGGUAAGUUCCGACCUGCACGAAUGGCGUAACGAUGGCGGCGCUGUCUCCACCCGAGACUCAGUGAAAUUGAAAUCGCUGUGAAGAUGCAGUGUAUCCGCGGCUAGACGGAAAGACCCCGUGAACCUUUACUGUAGCUUUGCACUGGACUUUGAGCCUGCUUGUGUAGGAUAGGUGGGAGGCUUUGAAGCGUGGACGCCAGUUCGCGUGGAGCCAUCCUUGAAAUACCACCCUGGCAUGCUUGAGGUUCUAACUCUGGUCCGUAAUCCGGAUCGAGGACAGUGUAUGGUGGGCAGUUUGACUGGGGCGGUCUCCUCCUAAAGAGUAACGGAGGAGUACGAAGGUGCGCUCAGACCGGUCGGAAAUCGGUCGCAGAGUAUAAAGGCAAAAGCGCGCUUGACUGCGAGACAGACACGUCGAGCAGGUACGAAAGUAGGUCUUAGUGAUCCGGUGGUUCUGUAUGGAAGGGCCAUCGCUCAACGGAUAAAAGGUACUCCGGGGAUAACAGGCUGAUACCGCCCAAGAGUUCAUAUCGACGGCGGUGUUUGGCACCUCGAUGUCGGCUCAUCACAUCCUGGGGCUGAAGCCGGUCCCAAGGGUAUGGCUGUUCGCCAUUUAAAGUGGUACGCGAGCUGGGUUUAGAACGUCGUGAGACAGUUCGGUCCCUAUCUGCCGUGGACGUUUGAGAUUUGAGAGGGGCUGCUCCUAGUACGAGAGGACCGGAGUGGACGGACCUCUGGUGUUCCGGUUGUCACGCCAGUGGCAUUGCCGGGUAGCUAUGUUCGGAAAAGAUAACCGCUGAAAGCAUCUAAGCGGGAAACUUGCCUCAAGAUGAGAUCUCACUGGGAACUUGAUUCCCCUGAAGGGCCGUCGAAGACUACGACGUUGAUAGGCUGGGUGUGUAAGCGUUGUGAGGCGUUGAGCUAACCAGUACUAAUUGCCCGUGAGGCUUGACC